rnacentral:lncRNA from 1 species
UCCGCCCACCUCGGCUUCCCAAAGUGCUGGGAUUAUAGGCAUGAGCCACCACACCCAGCCAAAAGACCAUUUUUCUUAAGACCAUGACCCCUUGAACUCCAUUCAUCCAAUUUUCCUUAGCUCCCAGACUGCCUAUCAAAGCCAUUCACAUUCCUUGUGUCACCACCGUGGGCCCUGUCCUCUUUACUCUGUGCCAUCUGCCAGGCAGCCUGCUUUCCCAGGGGCACCCACAGCCCCCUGGUAGGUACAUGGAGUCUCUCUUCCUGGACUCGGCAUCCUCUGUCUCUUUCCUGUGUUUUGUGUAGUGGGAGUUGGCGGAGGGAUUCCCUCCCUCAGCCUCAUGACCCUCCCCAGUUUAGCAUCCAUGGACCCACUGGGGGUCGAGCACCAGCAGUGAACAGACCUGGGGUCUCAGUUUGACCCCUUCGUAGCUAUGUGACAGUGUUGAGGGAGGCACCUCUUCGCUGGGUCCUGGUGUACUCGGCUGUACCACACAGGCCCUCAAGGCACCGUGGAGGGCAGGACUGGACAGAGCAGUGGCAGGUGCCCGUGAGCGGAAGGGGAGCAUUGAGGUGGAGGUAGCCAAUUCUGUUUCUCCCUGCGCUGGUCCCUGUGAGUGAGUGUGUGUAACUUCCACAUGCAAGGGCGGCUGCUGUCCAACAUGAGGCAAGCAGGACUUCUCUCCCCCACUCUGCGCUGAGGAUGGGCUGGGGAGGAAACGAGGCCUGAAGGCGUCCAGGCUCCGGGAUGUCUCCCUCUGCACCGGUCUCAUCAUUUCGGUGCAGAUUGAGGUUUCUUCUUGUGAAGGCUGUUAACAACCAAGUGAGAGCCGGGCUAUCAAAUGCCGAGUAAUAAGAUGCCUGUACCUGCUGCUUCCUGGCCGGAGUGAUGGUGCAUUUCUGCUGCUGAAAUUGCAUGUGGAUUAAUUAAAACGGGAAACUUUCUUUGCUGGCUGUUGAUCAAGGACUGCCCUCAGUUUCCUGCUGCAGAAGCCUCUUUGUAAAGCAGCUAUGGCAGGAAGAGUCACCCUCAGAGCCGGCGAGAGAGAGAGGGGUCCAGCCCACACCCAAGGGAAGGAGAUUCCGCAAGGGCAUGGAUACCAGGAGGGACGAAGAAGAGGGACAAAAAGGGAAAACGAUUUGCUGUCAUUGUAUCCACAAAGUGCACAUUUUCUUUGUACGGCUGAAAUGUCUGUGCGUCUGAGAGCUUGCAAGCUUGUCUGAAAUGGUCUAAUUGCCUGAUCUCAAUCCUGGCUGGGUGCCUUGCAUCUGGCUUUUCAUGGAUUUGAAUUGGGAGGGGCCGUUGGGGGAGACUCUCCUAACUCAGGGAUAUUUUUAGGAAAUCAAAGUUUGCUUUUCUGGGUCGAUUCUAUCCUCUGUCAUCGCCACCUCCCAAGCUGCCUCCGCGGCUCUUGUCACUUGCCAUUGUCCCUGGGCUCUGGUGGGAGGCCAGUCCUGUGCUGCUGAAUUGGAAUCAGGACCAGAACAGUCCUGACUGUCCCUAUGGGACCCAGGCCGGGGGUACCCCACCCAGCCCUGUGCCAGGGGCUUUGUGUAAGUCAGCAGUUCUCAAAGUGGGGCCCUCUGAGA